AUGCUCCGCGUGUCCCCUGCAGCGGCCGGGAGAGCGCUUGUGCAGGAUAGCAGCUCCACCCGUGUUUUAUUUGGGAUUCGUGUCCGCACCAUAUUCUUCACCGGUGGAGUUAAGCUGAAGCCCCAAGAAAUUUUCCUCUCUGAUCCCGACAGACUGCCGCCACAGCUCCAAAUCAGGAGGGGUGGGACCCGCAUUGAAAAUCAAGGGGAGAAAGAGAUUCGUGGUGAGUAG
rnacentral:rRNA from 1 species